UGAUGUGUUCUAGGUUACGUGAUGUGUUCUAGGUUAGGUGAUGUGUUCUAGGUUAGGUGAUGUGUUCUAGGUUACGUGAUGUGUUCUAGGUUAGGUGAUGUGUUCUAGGUUAGGUGAUGUGUUCUAGGUUAGGUGGUGUGUUCUAGGUUAGGUGAUGUGUUCUAGGUUACGUGAUGUGUUCUAGGUUAGGUGAACAUGAUUCUACGUACAGUGUGAUGUGUUCUAGGUUAGGUGAUGUGUUCUAGGUUAGGUGAUGGGUUCUAGGUUAGGUGAUGUGUUCUAGGUUAUGUGAUGUGUUCUAGGUUAGGUGAACAUGUUUCUACGUACAGUGUGAUGUGUUCUAGGUUAGGUGAUGUGUUCUAGGUUAGGUGAUGGGUUCUAGGUUAGGUGAUGUGUUCUAGGUUAUGUGAUGUGUUCUAGGUUAGGUGAUGUGUUCUAGGUUAUGUGAUAUGUUCUAGGUUAGGUGAUGUGUUCUAGGUUACGUGAUGUGUUCUAGGUUAGGUGAACAUGUUUCUAC
ensembl:lncRNA